rnacentral:rRNA from 1 species
CAGCAGCCGCGGUAAUUCGUAGGGUGCGAGCGUUAAUCGGAUUUACUGGGCGUAAAGCGUGCGCAGGCGGCCCGUUAAGACAGGUGUGAAAUCCCUGGGCUCAACCUAGGAAUUGCGCUUGUGACUGGCGGGCUCGAGUACGGUAGAGGGGGGUGGAAUUCCUGGUGUAGCCGUGAAAUGCGUAGAGAUCAGGAGGAACACCGAUGGCGAGGGCAGCCCCCUGGGCCUGUACUGACGCUCAUGCACGAAAGCGGGGGGAGCAAACAGGAUUAGAUACCCGGGUAGUCCACGCCCUAAACGAUGGGUACUAGCCGUUUGGUGCGCGAUAGCGCUGAGUGGCGAAGCUAACGCGUGAAGUACCCCGCCUGGGGAGUACGGCCGCAAGGUUGAAACUUAAAGGAAUUGGCGGG